CCCAGACUCCUACGGGAGGCAGCAGUGAGGAAUAUUGGUCAAUGGUCGGGAGACUGAACCAGCCAAGCCGCGUGAGGGAGGAAGGUACAGAGUAUCGUAAACCUCUUUUGUCAGGGAACAAAGGCGGGGACGUGUCCCCGGAUGAGUGUACCUGAAGAAAAAGCAUCGGCUAACUCCGUGCCAGCAGCCGCGGUAAUACGGAGGAUGCGAGCGUUAUCCGGAUUUAUUGGGUUUAAAGGGUGCGUAGGCGGUCCGUUAAGUCAGCGGUAAAAUUGCGGGGCUCAACCCCGUACUGCCGUUGAAACUGCAUCCCUUGAGUGCGCGAGAAGUAUGCGGAAUGCGUGGUGUAGCGGUGAAAUGCAUAGAUAUCACGCAGAACUCCGAUUGCGAAGGCAGCAUACCGGCGCGCAACUGACGCUCAUGCACGAAAGCGUGGGUAUCGAACAGGAUUAGAUACCCGUGUACG
rnacentral:rRNA from 1 species